CGUGACUCUCGUCUGUAAGGUGCACCACGAUAGGAAAAGCGAUCGGAGCGGAUCCUACGAUCCAUUGGGCUCCUGCUCCUGCUCCUGCUCCUGCUUUGGCUCCUAGUGUCAGAACUCAUCUUCAAACUUACCCUUAUUAACACCUACCAACACUGAUCUGCAAAACAACACAACACCAACACCCACCGCUGCUGCCUCCUUCCUGUCCACAUCAGAACCACACACCCAUCAUCAUCCAUUAACUCAAACCCAAACCCCUAACUACCCCUCCAAAACAAAAACACCAAAUCCCAACAGUACAAAACAAAACGUUUUUCAACAAGCAUCCAUCCUACUAAGAGUACAUAACAAUGAUACCACUCAACUCAGCACCAGGAACACGUAACCCCGCUCCUCAAUUAUAUCCUUUGAUGAUAAUUGUACAUCUCUUGCAAACAAUCACUGCCCCCAACAGAGUCAAAUCUACAUAAUUAUUAAUGACACUACAUAACUCCAUCUUCUUCACUGAUCAUUCAAACCAAACCAGCCACUACAGAAAGAGGCAAAUUAAAAGAACAUGAUACGAGGUGAGAAAAACUUCAGUUAUUAAUUAGUAAAAUUUUCUCCCUGCAACAGAAGAAGUCCAUCAAUAAUUAGGCAAACGUUCAAAAAAUAGUUUCAAGAGGAGAGGGUGGGUAUUUAAGCAAGCUGGCUAUUUCUUUCUGUUACGGAAUCAACCAUAUCUAGAGAUACAAUCCUGAACUAAGCUAAGAGGUCCUGACCAAUACUGCAAAAGAAGAUUACCAACAACAUUUGGAGCCUUUUCGUAGUUCUGUUGAGAGUUUCCAAAAUUUUUGGGA
rnacentral:lncRNA from 1 species